UCGAAUUUUUAGAACUUUUAAUCGUUGCACUAACUUGAGAAAGUGAAUCGAAAAAGGCUGGAGCAGAUUCUGUGGCUCGGAUAAUCGUAAGAUUAUGCCGUCAACUGCCUGGAAAUAUGUACUAUCCUGAUUCCUUGGAUCCUGAACAGUUGGCAAAAAUGAAGGCUAUACGAGUUCCAGUUCCGCAUGGUGGGACCAUGGGUAUCCAUUUGCUGCCUUAUCUUGAAUCGUAUCACGGACACUGUGCGGAGGGGGUCUAAAAUUGUGUUUAUGGUGAUGUGGAUUCUGCGACAUUGAGUUGGAGGGCUGCGUAACAGCAUUAGCGGAUUGGGGGUGUUGGGGAGGGCGUUCCCAAGGAUUGUGCGUGUUGCGGCGGUGCUUCUCAGAGGUUGUCGGCGUUGGGUUGGGCGUUGAGGCGUUGGGGCGGGCGUGGCAGCUGCAACUCUCUAAUUUCAUUUACACACUUUUCAACGCUCCUUUGCUCCAAUUGAGCUGCAUCUAAGUGUUUGCCUAGGUGUGCCCCACUCAAGCCCUCGACUCACUGACUCGACUCGCCCACUCACUCAAACACAAAGCCACCGUUGCUGCCACAAAGUGGAGGGAAAUGGAAGGUGGUUCUGGCUGCUAGCUGCUAGCUGCUGGUUGCUUGUUGCUGGUUGCUGGCUGGUGGUUCUCUCUGUCAGCAAUCAACAUGUUCAAUUGAGCAUAUCCUGCCGGUUGCAGGACACUGCCAGAGCAGCGCAAUGUGAUUACCCGACGCUAUUUUGUACACACACGAGACUAGCAUUCGCAUCCGUAUCCGUACUCCGUAUCCACAGCAACAGGAGAAGGACCCAGACCCGAACCAGGACCAGGACGUAGAGAGAACCCGGACUAAAGCAGGACAAGAACAAGGACACGUAACGGAGGAGGUCAGGCAGGCGCCUGCCCGUUGGCUCCCUUUUACAUUUCAUUGGAUUUUAUGCGUUUCACUUUAUGCUGAUGUUUUUAUUAUUAAAUUUUCUUGAACUUUCA
rnacentral:sRNA from 1 species